rnacentral:rRNA from 12 species
ACACCCCCGUGCCCAUAGCACUGUGGAACCACCCCACCCCAUGCCGAACUGGGUCGUGAAACACAGCAGCGCCAAUGAUACUCGGACCGCAGGGUCCCGGAAAAGUCGGUCAGCGCGGGGGUUU